GGAGGGUACGGCUCAGUGGUGAGAGUGCAUGCCUAGCAUGCACAAGGUCCUGGGUUCAAUUCCCAGUCCGUCUG
rnacentral:tRNA from 1 species